rnacentral:rRNA from 1 species
GGUGGAGCAUGUGGUUUAAUUCGAAGCAACGCGAAGAACCUUACCAAAUCUUGACAUCCUCUGACAGCCAUAGAGAUAUGGUUUCCCUUCGGGGCAGAGUGACAGGUGGUGCAUGGUUGUCGUCAGCUCGUGUCGUGAGAUGUUGGGUUAAGUCCCGCAACGAGCGCAACCCUUAAACUUAGUUGCCAGCAUUGAGUUGGGCACUCUAAGUUGACUGCCGGUGACAAACCGGAGGAAGGUGGGGAUGACGUCAAAUCAUCAUGCCCCUUAUGAUUUGGGCUACACACGUGCUACAAUGGGCAGGUUACAAAGGGCAGCGACGCCGCAAGGCCAAGCGAAUCCCAUAAAACUGUUCUCAGUUCGGAUUGGAGUCUGCAACUCGACUCCAUGAAGCUGGAAUCGCUAGUAAUCGUGGAUCAGCAUGCCACGGUGAAUACGUUCCCGGGUCUUGUACACACCGCCCGUCACACCACGAAAGUCAGUAACACCUGAAGCCGGUGGGCCAACCUUAUGGAGGCAGCCGUCGAAGGUGGGAUUGAUGAUUGGGGUGAAGUCGUAACAAGGUAAC